rnacentral:rRNA from 2 species
GCGUGGGAACGUACCACUUUGCUACGGAAUAACUCAGGGAAACUUGUGCUAAUACCGUAUGUGCCCUUCGGGGGAAAGAUUUAUCGGCAAAUGAUCGGCCCGCGUUGGAUUAGCUAGUUGGUGGGGUAAAGGCCUACCAAGGCGACGAUCCAUAGCUGGUCUGAGAGGAUGAUCAGCCACACUGGGACUGAGACACGGCCCAGACUCCUACGGGAGGCAGCAGUGGGGAAUAUUGGACAAUGGGCGCAAGCCUGAUCCAGCCAUGCCGCGUGAGUGAUGAAGGCCCUAGGGUUGUAAAGCUCUUUCACCGGUGAAGAUAAUGACGGUAACCGGAGAAGAAGCCCCGGCUAACUUCGUGCCAGCAGCCGCGGUAAUACGAAGGGGGCUAGCGUUGUUCGGAUUUACUGGGCGUAAAGCGCACGUAGGCGGGCUAAUAAGUCAGGGGUGAAAUCCCGGGGCUCAACCCCGGAACUGCCUUUGAUACUGUUAGUCUUGAGUAUGGUAGAGGUGAGUGGAAUUCCGAGUGUAGAGGUGAAAUUCGUAGAUUUUCGGAGGGAACACCAGU